GGUGAACGCUGGCGGCGUGCUUAACACAUGCAAGUCGAAGAACCUUCGGGUUAGUGGCGGACGGGUGAGUAACGUGUGAGAAUCUGCCCUCAGGAGGGGGAUAACGGCUGGAAACGGCCGCUAAUACCCCAUAUGCCGAGAGGUGAAAUGAAUUUCGCCUGAGGAUGAGCUCGCGUCUGAUUAGCUAGUUGGUGUAGGUAAUGGCUCACCAAGGCAUCGAUCAGUAGCUGGUCUGAGAGGAUGAUCAGCCACACUGGGACUGAGACACGGCCCAGACUCCUACGGGAGGCAGCAGUGGGGAAUUUUCCGCAAUGGGCGAAAGCCUGACGGAGCAACGCCGCGUGAGGGAUGAAGGCCUCUGGGCUGUAAACCUCUUUUAUCAAGGAAGAAGAUCUGACGGUACUUGAUGAAUAAGCCACGGCUAAUUCCGUG
rnacentral:rRNA from 1 species